rnacentral:rRNA from 1 species
GUUGUUCGGAAUUACUGGGCGUAAAGCGUGCGCAGGCGGUUGUGCAAGACAGAUGUGAAAUCCCCGGGCUUAACCUGGGAAUUGCAUUUGUGACUGUACGGCUAGAGUGCGGCAGAGGGGGAUGGAAUUCCGCGUGUAGCAGUGAAAUGCGUAGAUAUGCGGAGGAACACCGAUGGCGAAGGCAAUCCCCUGGGCCUGCACUGACGCUCAUGCACGAAAGCGUGGGGAGCAAGCAGG